GUCGCUUCAUAUGGUGAAAUCCCUCUUAAAGUUAAGUGAGGGACGUUCAAGUGUUUGAAGCACAAAUGAUUAGUCGGUAUUUAACUGCAUGGUGCAUUUCAAUCGCAUUUCGCUACUUGUCUCUUGCUAAGUUU